AUUGAACGCUGGCGGCAGGCCUAACACAUGCAAGUCGAGCGGAUGCAGGGAGCUUGCUCCUGGAUUCAGCGGCGGACGGGUGAGUAAUGCCUAGGAAUCUGCCUGGUAGCGGGGGAUAACGUCCGGACACGGGCGCUAAUACCGCAUACGUCCUGAGGGAGAAAGUGGGGGAUCUUCGGACCUCACGCUCUCAGAUGAGCCUAGGUCGGAUUAGCUAGUUGGUGGGGUAAAGGCCUACCAAGGCGACGAUCCGUAGCUGGUCUGAGAGGAUGAUCAGUCACACUGGAACUGAGACACGGUCCAGACUCCUACGGGAGGCAGCAGUGGGGAAUAUUGGACAAUGGGCGAAAGCCUGAUCCAGCCAUGCCGCGUGUGUGAAGAAGGUCUUCGGAUUGUAAAGCACUUUAAGUUGGGAGGAAGGGCAGUAAGUUAAUACCUUGCUGUUUUGACGUUACCAACAGAAUAAGCACCGGCUAACUUCGUG
rnacentral:rRNA from 1 species